rnacentral:lncRNA from 1 species
CACCAACGCCGUUCAUCAGUACCGAAUCCCUAACUCGGUAUCGUUCACCAACGCCGUUCAUCACCAUCUUCGAUUCAUCACCAAAUCGCAUUCUCCGAUUCAUUACCAACGCCGUUCAUCACCAUCUUCGAUUCACAUCGGUAUCUGAUUCAUCACCAUCGUCGNNNNNNNNNNNNNNGAUCUCACAUCAAAAGCUUAUAUGUGAGUGAUUGAUUAUGAAGUAGGAUUUAGGUGUUUCAGCUUAUAUGUGUUUCAGCUUAUAUGUUUCAGCUUAUAUGUGUUUCAGCUUAUAUGUUUCAGCUUAUAUGUGUUUCACCUUAUAUGUUUCAGCUUAUUUGUUGGUUGAAGUACUAAUAAGUCAAAGUAUAUGAAUAGGUAGGGUAGUUCUAAUCAUUAUUGUCAAUGAAUAUGUAGGUAUGGUAGUUCUAACAAGUUGUAAUAGUUCCCUCAAACUAUAAUCAUGAGACCCAAUCGAAGUUGGAUGCUGCGAAGAAAGGAUAAUAAUGGUCAAGUAACUGAAGAAUUUAAGAAUGGAGUUGAUGAUUUCAUUAAGAUUGCCAAGAGACAACUAGGAGUUGCUGAUGCAUUGGGUCGCAUUUUUUGUCCAUGUAUUAAAUGUAAGAAUUGUGUUAGGGAGAAAACAUUUUGGGUAGAGAAACAUCUGUAUGAACAUGGAUUUAUGGAAGAUUACUUGAAUUGGACUGUUCAUGGUGAGAAUCAAUGGGGAGACAGUAGUUCAAUGUCAAAUGUCCAUGAUGAAGAGAUGGAGACAAGGAAUCCAUACGUGGAUAUGGUUAUAGAUGCCAUGGAUGAUGAUCUUUCAGAAGAUCAA